GACAAACGCUGGCGGCGUGCAUAAAACAUGCAAGUCGGACGAGCCAAUCCCCGCAAGGGGAAAGGCUAGUGGCGAACGGCUGAGUAACACGUAGGUGACCUGCCCUGAAGUGGGGGAGUAACGACUCGAAAGAAGUCGCUAAUACCGCAUGUGACCACCGAUUCGUUUUCGGUGCUCAAAGUCGUAAGACGCUUUAGGAGGGGCCGUGCGGCGGAUUAGCUAGUUGGUGAGGUAAUGGCCCACCAAGGCUUCGAUCCGUAGCUGGUCUGAGAGGAUGGCCAGCCAGACUGGGACUGAGACACGGCCCAGACUCCUACGGGAGGCAGCAGUUAGGAAUUUUGCGCAAUGGGGGAAACCCUGACGCAGCCACGCCGCGUGC
rnacentral:rRNA from 1 species